AGACCUAAACUUGUGGGAUGAAAACUUGAUCUGAAGUCUAAGUUGUUAACGGAUACGAUAUGGGAAGGUUGAGCUGCUAUUUAUCUGUUCCUAGAGAUGCUAGAAUUUUGGAGAAUUUUAUCUUUGAAAAUCUUUAAAAUUUUGCAUGAUGAGUUCCUGUAUGAUGAGAGUUUAAAUGCCUACCAUAGCCAUAUAUACAUGCUUGCUAGACUUUGAGCCACACAUUUACUAUUUACUGCUUAUGAGCAUUGAGUGUGGUCAAGCUGUGUAGACCCUUAGGAGCUUGUCAUGUGGUUAAAUCAAGAUUCACUUGCACGUUCAAUCACAUAUGCUGCUUCUACUCCGGAAGUACCAUCCACAUAUAUCCACUCAUUUCCAUCUCCAGAACCACCCAAAAAUAUUCUACUCCUAAUCCGGGAGAGAAUAGCCAAAAAUAUUUCUGUUUUUCCCUUAUGAAAUAAAUGCUCAAGUUAUCUUGUUACUACCACUUGCUAUAUUAUCUCAAGAGAUGAGUGCUCUGAAAAAAAGAGAGAAGAAAAGAUAAGAGGAAAUAAAAAGGGGCAAGUGCCCGGAACCUCGAAAGAAAGAAAAAGUGAGACGAGAGGUAAAAAUGGACAAGUGUUCGACAGUAGAAUUAGGGGUACAAGAUACCCACCUGAGAGGAAAGAAAAAUAAAAAGAUAGAGCAUCUCAUUCUUCUCAUAAAGUUUCAAAAAGCAAGAAAGGUAUAUAUCCCCUCAAAAGAGCAAAAGUAGAAUUAGACUUCCACCAUUGUUAUCACCAUCAUCACCAUACACCAUUCAUUCGCCACACAUGCACAUCUUGAUUUGACUUAUUGAUUUGUUUCUUUGGAUCCAUGGUUUGACUAUGCAAUAAAUGUCUUGUAAGUAUGUAUACUUUAUCUCCCACCUAUGAGCUCCAGAUAUUAAAGCCUUAUUAGAGUAGGGUGAGAGAGAAGGCAAUGUUUCUAUGCCUUAUACCACAAAUACUAUAUAUCUUGAGAGAAGGCAUAUACCAUCACUGCCUUGGUAAGGAUCCAGAAAUACCACAAAAGAGAGAUCUGAGAGAGUCAUACAAGGAAUCUCUGAGUUUUAUUUGAAAAUCUGCAAAAAAAUUCAGAGCUAUAGC
rnacentral:lncRNA from 1 species